GGGGCCAUAGGGUAACUUGGCAUCCUUGCGCCUUCGGGUGGCGUUGAUGCCGGUUCAAAUCCGGCUGGCCCCA
rnacentral:tRNA from 1 species